rnacentral:rRNA from 1 species
UUCAGGUAACACUGAAUGGAGGACCGAACCGACUUACGUUGAAAAGUGAGCGGAUGAACUGAGGGUAGCGGAGAAAUUCCAAUCGAACUUGGAGAUAGCUGGUUCUCUCCGAAAUAGCUUUAGGGCUAGCCUCAAGUGAUGAUUAUUGGAGGUAGAGCACUGUUUGGACGAGGGGCCCCUCUCGGGUUACCGAAUUCAGACAAACUCCGAAUGCCAAUUAAUUUAACUUGGGAGUCAGAACAUGGGUGAUAAGGUCCGUGUUCGAAAGGGAAACAGCCCAGACCACCAGCUAAGGUCCCAAAAUAUAUGUUAAGUGGAAAAGGAUGUGGCGUUGCCCAGACAACUAGGAUGUUGGCUUAGAAGCAGCCAUCAUUUAAAGAGUGCGUAAUAGCUCACUAGUCGAGUGACACUGCGCCGAAAAUGUACCGGGGCUAAACAUAUUACCGAAGCUGUGGAUUGUCCUUUGGACAAUGGUAGGAGAGCGUUCUAAGGGCGUCGAAGCAUGAUCGCAAGGACAUGUGGAGCGCUUAGAAGUGAGAAUGCCGGUGUGAGUAG